GUAUUUUGACCGUGCAAAGGUAGCGCAAUCACUUGUCUUUUAAAUGAAGACCUGUAUGAAUGGUGGAACGAGGGCUUAACUGUCUCCCCCUUCUAGUCAAUGAAAUUGAUCUACCCGUGCAGAAGCGGGUAUAAUGAUACAAGACGAGAAGACCCUUUGGAGCUUAAGAUAAAAAACCAACUAUGUCAAAAGUCCUAAAAAAGACUAAACCAAAUAGUACUGGUUCUAAUCUUCGGUUGGGGUGACCACGGGAGAAAACAAAGCUCCCAUGCGGAUUGGGGUAAUUCCCUAAAACUAAGAGAGACAUCUCUAAGACGCAGAACAUCUGACCAUAAAGAUCCGGCUACAUGCCGACCAACGGACCAAGUUACCCUAGGGAUAACAGCGCAAUCCCCUUCCAGAGUCCAUAUCGACAAGGGGGUUUACGACCUCGAUGUUGGAUCAGGACAUCCU
rnacentral:rRNA from 1 species